GGCACUGGCUGAUUACUCUUCGUGACACAGGACUUCUUAUUCAUGCUCUGGAUUGUUCUCGUCCAUUCCAGUUCCUGCACGACCUUUCGCCUACCUGCCCGGUAUAGUCUUCCUCCUGGCUCAGGAAUAUAUCUGUGGCGUCAAUACACCUUUACUUUCGCAAGCCGCGUCAUGUGUAGCGGGACACCUAGACGGCCUUGUAACAUACUGCCCGCAACAAAAGGAAUAAAGAGAAGACACGAAGUGCUUGAUUGAGUUCUCAUCGCAAGAUGGUGAUUAGACUGAAGUGACAGUUGCUCGUCCCCAGACAGUCCAGAGAUCCAACGUCUGUAACAGCUCAGGAGGUGCCCUGCUCUGCCUUGAAUCUUCCGGGACAUGGAGCAGAGAGAGUAAGAAGCAUAUUCAAAGCAACCUUCUCUUGACAUCCUUCAUCUAUCACAGUGAUGUUUAGGCCAUUGACUUCUUCACAACCAUUAUCUUUCUUGUUUUGAAAACCAUCUUUUUGUACAAUUUUAUAAUACAUCCUCCAACAAAAUGUUAAGACUGGGAGUAUACUACAAGUAUUCAUAUUUAGCACUGUUGGAUAGUAACCAGGUGGUAAGAAUUAAGUAGUAGAGUCAUGCUAGUGCGAAACUAAUGUUCCAUCUUUAUAAGUUAUGUUCCAGAUGGUUAUUGGUUGAAGUCAGCCUCAAUAAGGGCCUUCAUUUGGAUGGAGGACUGGCCCGUAUUUUGUCGCAUCCUCCUGCUUAGUGCAUGUGAAUUAUUUUUGGGUUUACCACUUAACUUUUUUGUGACAUAACCAAGGACCAAAUCUGGAUUCCAGAAGGGAGGUGACAACUGGCUUGAGUACACAGAAUGUGACUUGAAAGAGGAGUGGU